UGGGGAAUAUUGGACAAUGGGCGAAAGCCUGAUCCAGCCAUGCCGCGUGUGUGAAGAAGGUCUUCGGAUUGUAAAGCACUUUAAGUUGGGAGGAAGGGCAUUAACCUAAUACGUUAGUGUUUUGACGUUACCGACAGAAUAAGCACCGGCUAACUCUGUGCCAGCAGCCGCGGUAAUACAGAGGGUGCAAGCGUUAAUCGGAAUUACUGGGCGUAAAGCGCGCGGAGGUGGUCUGUUAAGUUGGAUGUGAAAUCCCCGGGCUCAACCUGGGAACUGCAUUCAAAACUGACUGACUAGAGUAUGGUAGAGGGUGGUGGAAUUUCCUGUGUAGCGGUGAAAUGCGUAGAUAUAGGAAGGAACACCAGUGGCGAAGGCGACCACCUGGACUAAUACUGACACUGAGGUGCGAAAGCGUGGGGAGCAAACA
rnacentral:rRNA from 1 species